UUUAGCAUGUAAGAAGGACUCCUAAACUUCUUCCUUUCCUAAGAAAUUUGGGCACAAAAACCUAGUGGUGGGCGGCAUGAAAAAAUCCUAGAGUCUAAAGGAGUUUGGACUCUUAUCUCCUACUCAAACUCUAUCCUCUCUUCCUAUUUAAACCAAGGUACCUUAUGGGGCGUUAGAUAAACCAGAUAUGAUCAGGUUUUAACACCAAAAUGGGGAGUUGUGCAUGGAGAAAAAAUCAAGGGGAGAGGGCGUGACAUG
rnacentral:lncRNA from 1 species